UUUCAUGUCACAGGGCACACAAUGUUCACCCUUUUUCUCAGACACCCAAAACUGGCCUGUGAUUGACAAGGAGAAGCAAUAUGAGAGAGCAAGAUCUCACUGUUGUGCUCAGAUCUUCAAGAUCAUCCUACUGAUCAUAAAGUGCACAGUAUUACAGCCUAUGCAGUGAGUGGAUAUGAAUCCAGAUGUAACCAUGUGUCAGGAGUCGUGGGUAAAUCAAUAAGCAGGUGAUUCACUCUGCCAUGCAGAAGCCCUGACCAGCGAACUUCCUCUUCCGGACAGACAGGAAACUCAGUCACUUCCACAGCCUGGGUCCGAGCAGGAAAUGUCUCAGAGAUGAAACUUCAUUCAAUUGUCCACUGACUGCCUGUGAGUGUGUUUAAAGGUUUUCUUCAAGUCGAUGUUACUCAC